UUUAUACUCCCUCCAUCCCAAAAUUCUUGUCUUAGAUUAGUCUAGAUAUUGGUGUAUCUAAUACUAAAACGUGACUUGAUACAUUCGUAUUUAGACAAAUCUAAGACAAGAAUUUUGGGACAGAGGGAGUAUUUC
rfam:Triticum aestivum genome assembly, contig: Triticum_aestivum_CS42_TGACv1_scaffold_147996_2BS